GAGGGAGGUGUCAGGCGGGGAGAGACGCAAACGGCGGGACCAGCAGCGACGGUAGCAGCAGCAUGGCCGCGAUCUGUGGGGGUGUAGAGGGGUGGAGUUGUGCUCAUAUCUGGAACAGGCUCCAACUGCAGGCUCAUCAACCCUGAUGGCUCCGAGAGUGGCUGCGGCGGCUGGGGCCAUAUGAUGGGUGAUGAGGGUUCAGGUGAGCUCACUGACUGGCCCAGCUCCAGGUCCUGGAUCUGCUCCUUCCUUCACUCCCUGUCUUUCUCUCCUUACCCUUGGCUCACUGAGCCCUUGGGGCUUCCUGGGGACAACUCCUGAACCUGGCCAUUCCAUGUGCAGGAUCAUGACUGAGAUCAUAGAGGUGCAAAUGCUGGACGAGCUGCUGACCCUGCUCUCCAGCAGUGACUUGCACCCAGGACUCAGAUUCAUCCCUCAGCACAGGGGCCUGCCUGUGUUGACUUGCUGUCCUUAGGGAGGAGUUGAAACUGAGGGUAAGGCCAUAGAUGCCAGGAGAUGCCAUACCAGUCUGCUAGGGGAAAGGGUGUAGAAGCCCUUCCAACAUCACCUCUCUCUAGGUAG
rnacentral:sRNA from 1 species